rnacentral:rRNA from 1 species
CUAGCCAAGGAUCAGUAGGGUAUGUGACAGGAGAGCAUGACCCCACUCACUGGGGACGAGACACAGACCAGUAUCGUAGGGGACAGUGCAGUCAAGAAUAUUCCUCAAUGGAGCAAAGUCGAAGGAGCGACGUGAAGGAAAUGAAGAAGCCGUUUGGGGUGUAAAAUUCUUUCAGAAGAAUGAAACAACGAGGUAGCAGAUGAAUAAGGGACAGGAAUAAGCAUGCCAGCAGCAGCGGUAAUCAGAGGGCGUCAAGCGUUAUCCGGAGCGUUGGGCGUAAAGCGUCCGUAGAAGGUUUAUCACAUCUUCUGUUAAAUCUCGAGGCCCAAUCUGGAGCUCGCGGAAGAGAUGGACAAAGAAGAGAUUGGAAGAGGCAAAGGGAAUUGUAGGCGUAGGGGUUAAAUCCAUUAAUAUCAGCAGGAACAUCAAAUGGGACGGCAGUUUGGAAGGACAGUUAUGACACCCACAGGACGAAAAGGCGGGAAAGAAUGGGGAUCAAUCCCGCAGUAAUACCCUGGUAGUCCAGAUGGAUAAAAAGCAUCGAAGUAUGGACCCGAUACACAGUAAGAA